rnacentral:tRNA from 1 species
CGGGCAGUGGCGCAGCUUGGUAGCGCAUCAGUCUGGGGGACUGGGGGUCGCAGGUUCAAAUCCUGUCUGCCCGACCA